CAGAUACUCCCUCCGUCCGAAAAUACUUGUCAUCAAAAUGGAUAGAAAAGGAUGUAUCUAGAACUAAAAUACAUCUAGAUACAUCCCCUUUUAUUCAUUUUGAUGACAAGUAUUUCCGGACGGAGGGAGUAACAG
rnacentral:pre_miRNA from 1 species